AUUUUAUUAAUUAAAUAAUUAUUUUUGAAAAAUUACCUGCUGAACCGGUCAAUUUUUUGAUUUGGUGGUUUUUUAUGAUACAAAUGUCACUUUGAAGGUUAAAAGUGUUAGUGAAAAAACUUGAAGGUUUAAAGUGCUAGUAAGUAACACUUUUAGGGUUUUUUAUGCGACUUUCUCAAAAAAAAGUGAAAGAAUAAACGAGACGACAUGCCGUUUUGUUUUUACGAUACUUCCAUGCUUGUCGUAUGUAUGCACACUGCUCGGCAGCCGGUGCUUUAUAAAAAAAUAACGAAACGGCGAGCUGUUUUAAUUUCGGUUAAUAUCGUUACUUAACUGAAACACCCUUCGUUGCCGUCAACGCUUGCUCCUCCGGCUCGUCGAGAAGAUGAUGCGCUCCUCUGGACGACAGCGAAGAAGACGAAUCAUGGAAACAGUGGGGGGAGUAAAGCAGCGACGCCGGAGUUCGAUCCGCCUCCGGAUUUCUCAAACAUGUGAUUCGAUCAGAUCCAAGAGGAGAUGGCGAAACGGACUUUCGCACCGGUCGUCGGAUUCUUCAAGCUCCGGUUAGGCGUUCACCGUACUAAGGUGGAUUAGGAGUGAGGUUUCAUGGCUGUGGAUCGGAGCACGGUGAUGUUCAAUAUGCAGCAGAACGGGAAGGAAGUUAUUGAGGUAAGGGAGUUUGUGCUGAGACAAUAAGAGGCUUAUGAGGUUAGGAUAGGGAAACAAGAGUUUCGAAGACCUGGAGAUCCUCCUCUUGAUGAUGUCGUUGAUAUACUUCAAGCAAAGCAAAGCAAGGACGAUGAAGAUGGUAAUGGUAAUAGCAAGAAUAAUGUUUGUUACUAAGGAUGACUUAUAGGUCUCGUAUACACUUUUGAAGCUUUUAAAAUUUGGUAACCAAGUUUCUGCAUUAGAGAGACUGAAAGCUCAGCUCAUUAGCUGAAUCUUAGCUACAAUUUCUCUGUCUUGUUGGUGGUUUCGUACAAUACAAUAGAAAGUAUGCUCACUAUCA